rnacentral:misc_RNA from 1 species
GGAUGACAAGUAUCACAUUAUAACCACGUUGACCUAAAAUGUGAAGUGCUGGAGCAAAAUCGACAUCUCCAGAUAUGAGCAUUAUGGAUGAUGGGGGAGGGUUAUCGAGGGCAAAGAGAAACAUAUCGACGAGUAUAGCCUUAUCGGCAGCAUCCUUCCGACCAUUCGGCACAUCAAUUAGUUUGACCCCGGUUCUCUGACACCCUUCUCUCAGUCGUCUAGGAAAGGCAUUGAAAUCCCCAUAUGCUGAAAACAUC